rnacentral:lncRNA from 1 species
UGUGCUCAGACGGUGAGCACAGCUCCCAGCUCCCAGAGGGGCGGGUCGUCCCCAGCAGGCCUCGCCAUCAGCCACCACCCACGACAGGCAGGCUCCCCUGACAGCCCCGCUCCACGCAGCUGGCCGCCCCCGCCCUCCGGUCAGCCCGGUUUCCUGCCCCUCCCUCUCUCCUCCCUCCAGCUGUUUGGCAGAGGCCUGUCCCAUUCAGGACAGCAGCCCUGGUGAGCAAAGAGCGCAGGAGCCUCCGGGGGAUGAGAAUGUUCUAGGGGGGCUGAACUCUGGUCUAUUUGAGGGGCCCUUGAAUGAAUGGAUGCACUGCUUUCUGGGCAAACGGCCACAGCCAAAGGACAGUGUGAUUUCAAGAAAGAAGUCGGGGAACACGGGUCUCCUGCACAACCUCGAGUGGUCUGAAGUCACCGAACGCUUGGGAACACCUGGGCAGAGAAGACCGGCCACAAGGUGUUUCCAGCUGUGUUUGGGAACUGAUUGGCCAAGGACCCACAUUGGAGAGCUUUGGGCAUCGUAACAGUGAACGGUAAGGGACACGGGAUCUGAACUCAUCUCUCCAAAGGGCAUCAGUGGGGGACGAGGAUGAGGUGGGUGCACUGUCAGUGCAGCUGUCCCUGGGUUUUGGAAAUAUGGUCGGAACCAAGUUCGCAGCACUACGCACCUCUCCUUCAUUGCGCUUAGCAUUGUUGCGAUUUUUUCCAUGAUUUGAGGAGUUUUUUUGAUGAAUAGUUGUCUCCCACUAGACUGUAAGGGAAAGGGGAGGGUCCCAGAGAGGAAGCAAAAACAUGGUGGUCCAGAGGGACCAUAGACUCUGAAGCUGGGGCCUGACUCCUGGCUCUGCCUCUUCCCAGCUGUAUGACUUUGGGCACGUGACUCAAGCUCUCUGUGCCUCAGUUUCCUCAUCUG